rnacentral:rRNA from 1 species
GACGAACGCUGGCGGCGUGCUUAACACAUGCAAGUCGAACGGAAAGGCCCUGCUUUUGUGGGGUGCUCGAGUGGCGAACGGGUGAGUAACACGUGAGUAACCUGCCCUUGACUUUGGGAUAACUUCAGGAAACUGGGGCUAAUACCGGAUAGGAGCUCCUGCUGCAUGGUGGGGGUUGGAAAGUUUCGGCGGUUGGGGAUGGACUCGCGGCUGAUCCGCUUGUUGGUGGGGUAGUGGAUUACCAAGGCUUUGACGGGUAGCCGGCCUGAGAGGGUGACCGGCCACAUUGGGACUGAGAUACGGCCCAGACUCCUACGGGAGGCAGCAGGGGGGAAUAUUACACAAUGGGCGGAAGCCUGAUGCAGCAACGCCGCGUGCGGGAUGACGGCCUUCGGGUUGUAAACCGCUUUCGCCUGUGACGAAGCGUGAGUGACGGUAAUGGGUAAAGAAGCACCGGCUAACUACGUG